AUUAUUGGGCGUAAAGAGCUCGUAGGCGGUUUGUCGCGUCUGCCGUGAAAGUCCGGGGCUUAACCCCGGAUCUGCGGUGGGUACGGGCAGACUAGAGUGCAGUAGGGGAGACUGGAAUUCCUGGUGUAGCGGUGAAAUGCGCAGAUAUCAGGAGGAACACCGAUGGCGAAGGCAGGUCUCUGGGCUGUAACUGACGCUGAGGAGCGAAAGCAUGGGGAGCGAACAGGAUUAGAUACCCUGGUAGUCCAUGCCGUAAACGUUGGGCACUAGGUGUGGGGGACAUUCCACGUUUUCCGCGCCGUAGCUAACGCAUUAAGUGCCCCGCCUGGGGAGUACGGCCGCAAGGCUAAAACUCAAAGGAAUUGACGGGGGCCCGCACAAGCGGCGGAGCAUGCGGAUUAAUUCGAUGCAACGCGAAGAACCUUACCAAGGCUUGACAUGAACCGGAAUGAUGCAGAGAUGUGUCAGCCACUUGUGGCCGGUUUACAGGUGGUGCAUGGUUGUCGUCAGCUCGUGUCGUGAGAUGUUGGGUUAAGUCCCGCAACGAGCGCAACCCUCGUUCCAUGUUGCCAGCGGGUUAUGCCGGGGACUCAUGGGAGACUGCCGGGGUCAACUCGGAGGAAGGUGGGGACGACGUCAAAUCAUCAUGCCCCUUAUGUCUUGGGCUUCACGCAUGCUACAAUGGCCGGUACAAAGGGUUGCGAUACUGUGAGGUGGAGCUAAUCCCAAAAAGCCGGUCUCAGUUCGGAUUGAGGUCUGCAACUCGACCUCAUGAAGUUGGAGUCGCUAGUAAUCGCAGAUCAGCAACGCUGCGGUGAAUACGUUCCCGGGCCUUGUACACACCGCCCGUCAAGUCACGAAAGUUGGUAACACCCGAAGCCGGUGGCCUAACCCCUUGUGGGAGGGAGCCGUCGAAGGUGGGACCGGCGAUUGGGACUAAGUCGUACAGGGGUAAACCGGUAA
rnacentral:rRNA from 1 species